rnacentral:rRNA from 1 species
GAUGAACGCUGGCGGCGUGCCUAAUACAUGCAAGUCGAGCGAACAGACGAGGAGCUUGCUCCUCUGACGUUAGCGGCGGACGGGUGAGUAACACGUGGAUAGCCUACCUAUAAGACUGGGAUAACUUCGGGAAACCGGAGCUAAUACCGGAUAAUAUAUUGAACCGCAUGGUUCAAUAGUGAAAGACGGUUUUGCUGUCACUUAUAGAUGGAUCCGCGCCGCAUUAGCUAGUUGGUAAGGUAACGGCUUACCAAGGCGACGAUGCGUAGCCGACCUGAGAGGGUGAUCGGCCACACUGGAACUGAGACACGGUCCAGACUCCUACGGGAGGCAGCAGUAGGGAAUCUUCCGCAAUGGGCGAAAGCCUGACGGAGCAACGCCGCGUGAGUGAUGAAGGUCUUCGGAUCGUAAAACUCUGUUAUUAGGGAAGAACAAAUGUGUAAGUAACUAUGCACGUCUUGAUGGUACCUAAUCAGAAAGCCACGGCUAACUACGUG